rnacentral:rRNA from 1 species
AACGUAGGACACAAGCGUUAUCCGGAGUUACUGGGCGUAAAGGGCGUUUAGGCGGGUGACUAAGUUCGCUAUGAAAGCGCCGGGCUAAACUCGGCGAGGCUGGCGGAUACUGGUCAUCUGGAGUGAGUCAGAGGAAGGUAGAAUUCCGCGUGUAGUGGUGAAAUGCGUAGAUAUCUGGAGGAACACCGGUGGCGAAGGCGGCUUCCUGGUCCAGCACCGACGUUCAGGCACGAAAGCGUGGGGAGCAAACAGG